UACGUAGGGAGCAAGCGUUGUCCGGAAUCAUUGGGCGUAAAGCGCGCGUAGGCGGCCCUGUAAGUCCGUUGUGAAAGUCAAAGGCUCAACCUUUGAAAGCCGAUGGAUACUGCAGGGCUAGAGUCCGGAAGAGGCGAGUGGAAUUCCUGGUGUAGCGGUGGAAUGCGCAGAGUAUCAGGAGGAACACCAAUAGCGAAGGCAGCUCGCUGGGACGGUACUGACGCUAAGGCGCGAAAGCGUGGGGAGCGAACGAGG
rnacentral:rRNA from 1 species